UGGGGAAUUUUGGACAAUGGGCGAAAGCCUGAUCCAGCAAUGCCGCGUGUGUGAAGAAGGCCUUCGGGUUGUAAAGCACUUUUGUCCGGAAAGAAAUCCUUGGCUCUAAUACAGUCGGGGGAUGACGGUACCGGAAGAAUAAGCACCGGCUAACUACGUGCCAGCAGCCGCGGUAAUACGUAGGGUGCAAGCGUUAAUCGGAAUUACUGGGCGUAAAGCGUGCGCAGGCGGUUUGCUAAGACCGAUGUGAAAUCCCCGGGCUCAACCUGGGAACUGCAUUGGUGACUGGCAGGCUAGAGUAUGGCAGAGGGGGGUAGAAUUCCACGUGUGAGCAGUGAAAUGCGUAGAGAUGUGGAGGAAUACCGAUGGCGAAGGCAGCCCCCUGGGCCAAUACUGACGCUCAUGCACGAAAGCGUGGGGAGCAAACAGGAUUNGAUACCCUGGUAGUCCACGCCCUAAACGAUGUC
rnacentral:rRNA from 1 species